rnacentral:lncRNA from 1 species
GGUCCACGUCAGGGGCCUGUGUCAUGUGUCCGGCAUUCGGAGGGGAGGCAGCUCAGCCUCUGCACUCCUCUUCCUGGAGGCGAUUUGUUUUAGAGUGGAUAAUCCCUGGGGCUAUGAGCGUGUCCCACAUCUGCCCUGAAUUGGAAACAGAUUCUGUGAGAACUUACAUCCGAGCUGCUCUCCCUUCCUCGAGUCAGAGCUGCAGCAAGGGGCCCGGCUCAAUGGACACACAGGCUGCCCCCUCCGUGGACCCCCCCGGCCGCAGGGAAUAGGAAUGGGCGUGCCAUUCAAUAGCCAGCAGCAGGAU